CAGCAGCCGCGGUAAUACAGAGGAUGCAAGCGUUAUUCGGAAUGAUUGGGCGUAAAGCGUCUGUAGGUAGCUUUUCAAGUCUGCCGUCAAAUCCCUGGGCUCAACCUUGGACAGGCAGUGGAAACUACCAAGCUGGAGUAUGGUAGGGGCAGAGGGAAUUUCCAGUGGAGCGGUGAAAUGCGUUGAGAUCGGAAAGAACACCAACGGCGAAAGCACUCUGCUGGGCCGACACUAACACUGAGAGACGAAAGCUAGGGGAGCAAAUGGGAUUAGAUACCCCCGUAGUCCCUGUCUCUUAUAC
rnacentral:rRNA from 1 species